AGUCUCAGCAAGACCCCAUAUAUUAAAGUUGUAAUGAUACAGAUCAGAGAAGAUUAGCAUGGUUCCUGCACAAAGAUGACAUGCAAAAUUGUGAAUAAAUUUAUCUUAUU